AAGUAGUAAUAGGUAUAAUCUUGAAACUUAAAAGAUUUGGCGGUAUUUUAUCUUGUUAGAGGAACCUGUAUGUUAAACGAUAUUCCACGACUUAAUUUACUUUAUUUAAAAUACUUGUAUACCGCUGUCAUGAAUAUACUUAAAAGUAAAAUUUCUUUAUUUUUAUUUAAUUAAUGUUAGGUCAAGGUGCAGUUUAAUAAGUAAGUAUGGGUUACUUUGAUAAUUAUGAAUGUAGCUAUUUAUUAGAAUUAGGAUUUAAUAGUAAGUUUAUUAAAGUAAUAUGUUGAAUGAAGAUUCUAAAAUAUG
rnacentral:rRNA from 1 species